rnacentral:lncRNA from 1 species
GCAAAAUAAAAUGGUUAUUUUAUGACACUAAGUUUUGUGGUAGUUUGUUAGGUAGCAACAGCAACCGGAAGAGUAGCUUGGUGAACGUUUCCUCUUGUGCAGAAGACCCAAACCUCUGAAACGCUUCUCCCUCUUCAAGCCACAGUUUUGCUGACAUGCUUAUCUGGCUUAAAAAUGUCUCCAUUUGAAGAACAGAAAAAGGAUGCUCCUUUGGAAAUCUCCAGCUAAAAUAAAAUAAAUGAACCUUUGUUUGAGCUUCAUAUCUGGUGUUGGAAAAGUGGUUACCUCACCUAUCUGCUGCCUGUGUUCACAUUUCCAAGAAUGAACAUGAUGAAAAUCAAACAGAUGAGCCAGAGGGAAACGCAUCAGGAUUUCCGCCCAUCCUUGAAAAAGUUGCAACAGGAGAGAAGAGAGUUUCCCUUUGAACUGGGAUUUCGUCCUCAAAUAUUCCUCCAAUGUGAUGGACACCUGCAAACACGCAUGACUUUUUGGAAAAUCUUGUUUUAAAAAGUGAAGAUAUUGAAGCCUGGAGACGUGAAAUAAACACGCUGCCUGGGGUGACGCA